rnacentral:tRNA from 1 species
GGGGUCGUGGAUUAGCGGAAGAUCACUCGCUUGGCAUGCGAGAGGCCGGGGGUUCGAAUCCCCCCGACUCCA